GGGUCAGUAGGUUGGUCGUGCCACCGGUACGUACUGGUCUCACUGAUUCCUCCUUCCUGAAGAACCGUAACGCCAUUAAUUUGGUGUUGCGGGGAAACAGGACUGUUACUUUGAAAAAAUUAGAGUGUUUAAAGCAAGCUAACGCUUGAAUACAUUAGCAUGGAAUAAUGAAAUAGGACGAUCGAUCCUAUUUUGUUUGUUUCUAGGAUUGACGUA
rnacentral:rRNA from 1 species